AGAGCGUGAUUCUUCAGAACCAAACUGGGAUCGGAGUCUUCAUACUUUCUUCUCGGAGGCAUACACUAUCGUCUGGAUACUUUUUUCAGGUUGCAAUAACUCCAUGCAUCUUAGAGCCGUUGGAAGCAGAAGAUUGGGCAUUACUACUAGGUGCAAGGCUUGCUGCAGCACUAAACUUGCAGGUGCUGAACUUCCUCACAGACAACGAAAUACAUUAGGUGUAGCUAAAAGGAGAUCAUCACGCCAUUACCCUCGUCAUUGGUCAUUGCAACCAA